CAACGUCUUGGAGGCGAAACAUCCGAGGACCUUAAACGUCAAUGGGAAAUGAAAUUUGUGAUGUUAUGAUAAUUAAUUUGUUAAAUAGGUUCAUUGAGGUUUUGUCAAAAUGGCUUGGGUCAACACACACGAUGCCUCUGUCUUUGUCUGUGGUUUGAAGACUUUUCUGGAAGAAAACCACACGGGACACCUACUGGGGGACUCGGCUAUCAACAAUAGGUACAACAAUGCCCAGUCAAGUGUAUUGUGGUUGAGAGGGCUUUUGGACUGCCAAAGAGUAGAUUUAGGUGUCUACAUAAAACUGGCGGUUGUUUAUUCGUGAGACACGAUGAGUGCUGUCAAACAGUGGCUGCAUGAAUGCGCCUGCACAACUUAUGCAUAGAUUAGCAGGUGCCACUGCCUGAACAACUUACUGAGGCACAGGAAGUGGAUGAGGUUGUGCACAGUCCACAACAAGACCAAAAUGCAGCUUAUAUGGACAACACAUCAUUAACUUACUUAUGUAGUUGCUGUUUUAUGCUAACAUGUGCACGAAGUGCUAUAGGUGAGUCAUUGUGGUCUGUCUAUGUUCGGCGACAUGUGUUUAUAUUCAAUAUUUGACUCUUUGUUGAUGAAAGAUGGUCAUAAUGUUUCUGCUAAUGAUACAUAAUAACUUAAUAAGUUAAUGAUUUCUUGUCUAUGAACUGCUGCACUUCGGUCAAGUGUGGUCAACAUCUUUGAAAAAGUGUGGAUAUUGACAAUUUCUACCGUUCUUGUGGAUGUUUUUCAUUAAGGACACACUUUUUACAAUAUUCAUUUAUGCAAUGCGUACCAUGAUUACAUGUUUCGUUUAUAUAAUAACAAAGUGAAAAUAAAUUCUACUCCUUUAUUUCAUUAUCUUUGUAACAUAACAAUACAGGGUUUUCUCCAACAACUCUACAGCUAGGGAACAAUGAAGUGGAACACUAUCUGAAAAUGAAAUACAUUUUAUGUUAAUAAAAUUUGUAUUUGUAAGACAAGUGAUGAAAUAAAGGUUAACAUUGUAACAUAAAGA